rnacentral:rRNA from 1 species
CUACGGGAUGCACCAGUGGGGAAUUUUGCGCAAUGGGGGCAACCCUGACGCAGCAAUACCGCGUGAGUGAAGAAGGCCUUUGGGUCGUAAAGCUCUUUUCUAAGGGAAGAUAGUGACGGUACCUUAGGAAUAAGCACCGGCUAACUCCGUGCCAGCAGCCGCGGCAAUACGGAGGGUGCGAGCGUUGUUCGGAUUUACUGGGCGUAAAGGGCGCGUAGGCGGCUUAGCAAGUUAAGGGUGAAAUCCCGGGGCUCAACCCCGGAACUGCUCUUAAAACUGCUAAGCUAGAGAUGGUCAGAGGCGGGUGGAAUUCCAGGUGUAGAGGUGAAAUUCGUAGAUAUCUGGAGGAACACCGGUGGCGAAGGCGGCCCGCUGGGGCCAUUCUGACGCUGAUGCGCGAAAGCGUGGGGAGCGAACGGGAUUAGAUACCCGGGUAGUC